rnacentral:rRNA from 1 species
GCUGAUGCAGCGACGCCGCGUGAGCGAAGAAGGCCUUCGGGUUGUAAAGCUCUGUCCUAGGGGACGAUAAUGAAGGGACCCUAAGAGGAAGCCCCGGCUAAUUUCCUGCCAGCAGCCCCGGUAUUUAUACAUGCCAGCAGCCGCGGUAAUAACUAGC